AAUAAAUAAUAGAGAAUGAAAUAUGCAGACUAUAAAGUUCUGCAGCCAAAUUCGCAGAGACCUUCCUCUUCAAUGUAGGAUCAGGAUUUUGUCUUGAAUUGAUUUAAAAAAAAAGUGCUAAGCAGAUGCUACACUGUAAGAAGAGGAAAGAGAAUCAAAAACUGAAAGAUUGUUACUAAAACCAAUGAACAACUGCAGAGAGUGGAGACCCGGCAAAGCAAACAAAUGAAUACUGAAAAAGAUCCCCAAAGGAGAUGUAAGGAUCCGGAACUCUAAUGUCUGCCAGAAGCUUCAGCCACCUUCACAGGCUAGGGCUCACCGUCCAUUGUGGAGGUGAAGACCAGAUGAGAGCUGCUGGAUUGACCUUGAUGUGCCACGUCCUUGUGUGGAUGAAGGACCUACAUCUCAGGGAUGGCCAGCAGCAGAUGUAACACAUGUGUCCAGGAAUGGGCUAAAUAACCUACAUUGAGAGGUAAGUAAAAUCCUGGCCACAUGUAGACAUUACAGGAAUUGGUGGGGAUUGACCCAGGGUCCUUCAGCACAAGCCCCUCUCACUCACUGUCAACAAAUCCAGCUCCACUCACUAGACCACACCCCAUUCCAGAGCCCCAGAUCCCAGGAGCCCUGAUU